UUUUUCAUUUUUCUUUAUCCGAAGCAUAUGAAAACUCCAUUUUUCAUUUCCCUAUAGUAGUGUUGGUCUUUCCUGGAUAUAUGUAAUUUAAUAGAUUAGAUUUGAUAGGUGGUAUUUCUGCAUUGAUAUACCAUGUUUUCAAUUUCAGUACUGGGAGGACCAUUCAUAAAACAUCAUUUGACAGUCAAGUUACCGCUAUGGACCAUGCUCACACUGGACCGAUCAUUUUCUGUGGAGAUGGGACGGGGUUUAUAUAUUCUGUCAGUAUGAAUUCUCACACAGGAGUAUUAUCCCGCUCUCAUCGGCAUCGAAGUAGCAGCAGGCAGAAAUCUCCAGUCACAACUGUGGAGUCCCGAAGUUUUUCUCUGUUGGCUCGGGGCCCUGUGUUGCUGACAUGUACUCAAGAUGGAAGUUUGUCUUUCUUCAGUGUUGCGCUGGAAAUACAAGGUUAUUUGGCUCUUCAUUGCUCACUCAAAUUAACUCCACGAAUAUACAAUAUCCGGGCUCUUCAUGGGUUAUGGAAGCUGCAGUAGUUAUGGCACUUGUCCUUGCUAAUGGGGGAUUUUGUAGAGGAGAAUAAUGCGGGAAAUGCUGCAUCAGCUCUUAUGGAACGUUUAUCUCCAAAGACAAGGAUGAGUUAAAUGCCUCACUAAGCUGCACAUGAGUUAAAUGCAGACGAGUAGACCACCUACCAGAUUUGCAGCAAAGGUUUUUGUUCUUUUUUCUGCAAUAUCUUGUUCCUCAUUGAGAAUGAAGACUAGUUGCUCUUGUAAUAUGCAGCAUAAGUCUAUAUGGGGGUCAAGAAAGAUUUGUGUCUCUGCAAUGGGUCAGCAGGUUUGUGUCUCUGCAAGCUCACUGGCCAUUCCGUUUUCUAUGACCACUUCUAUGAUUUGGGUGAUUCCGUUCAUGAUCAGAUUGUGAAACUAGUACAGCAGUAUAGCUAGCUAGUUCCUUUAUUAACUUGUGUCUAGUAGAAAUUUUUCAUUCAUUAAGCAUUUAGACUUGUCUUCAGAUCCAGAUUAGUAUAUAUGAGUUAUUUUGAACUGAAGUUCAUGAUUAAGUUUGUGUACAUGAGAUACUAGUGGAUUAAUGGAAAUUGCAAUGAAUGAUUUUGAAUGUGGAUUUUAUGGUUU